rnacentral:rRNA from 1 species
GAGAGUUAAACAGUACGUGAAAUUGUUGAAAGGGAAACGAUUGAAGUCAGUCAUACCAACGGGAAAUCAACCUCUUGAGUUUGGUCUCGUGGGUUUUGAAGAGUUUUUAAAAGCCUUCGGAUUUUCGAGAUUGGGUUCUUCUGGUGUACUUUCUCGUACGGUUAGUCAACAUCGGUUUUGAAUGUCAUAAAAUGACUGGAGGAAUGUGGCUUCGAUCUCGUAUUGAAGUGUUAUAGCCUUUGGUAGAUGUGAUGUUCGAGACCGAGGAUUGCAACGGAUACCCUUCUGGGCUAUUCGUCUGAUCUCUGAAACGUUGCCUUGAUGUCGAAAGCUUGCUUAUGAUGUUAGGGUAUUACGGUCAAAAGGUUAGAACGGAUUAAAUUCGUUAAGGAUGUUGACGUAAUGACUUUAAACGA